rnacentral:lncRNA from 1 species
UUCACAUUCGAAAGGGUUGAAUUGUGAGAACUAUUACGAAAGUGCUAUUACGAAAUCGCCGUCGGAGAUGAUACAAAAGACGAUGGGAAUCAAAAGUUGGUGCAUUUGAAUUAUAAAAGCAAAGCAUAAAUCCCUUUAAGUAAAGACCCGUAAUGUAACACAUAUUCAGACUGCCAGGCAGAGAAGACUUUAAAUCAAAAUAUUUUUCAGACUCGAACUAGUAUGUUGCGAUUCUUGUUUCAGAACGCACCAAAAAUCACCUCUAUAUAGGUUUCCAAAUGCGCACCCCAGCCAGACAACAAAGACUUUAACAUACAUCAAUGCUUUAGUAUGCCUUAGGAAGCCUAACUGUAAUAAAGCUCAUAGCAAAGCUUCAAUGUACAUCAAAGACCGCACCCAUUUUCCGUAGGGCGUGGUCGUUAGGGUUGCCAGGAGCGCCUGCAUUAGUGCAUAGAUAUAAGACCUAUAUGCCUAGCAGGAAGGGGUGGUGCGCGAAUCAAUGGCGCAACUCGACCUUUCGAUCCUGACUCGUCGGCCUGAGCAGACGGACUCGGAGUCAUCGCUUCGAAAAAUAGAUUUUCGAAUCUAAGUGCAGCUUUCUCGAGUCUGCGAGCCACCGCAUCACCACCAGAAUGAACCAGCCGUCCGAGUUGCCCACCAAGUCGGCUACCCACGACUACACCGUGGAGAAUCUGCAGAAGUUGGCUGAAGAAAUGCUCAACGAUCCGGAGUUGGGGUGUCGCAGCCGCGUGGUGUCGGCCUUCAGCGGCGACGGGGGCAGCUACACGGCUGGCCCCAACACCGACAUGAUGCCGGACAAGCAGCUGUACGACUUUGAUUAUAUCAUCAUGUCGAUUUAAAUUAUUAUCCAUGUAACCGUAGGUUUUAAGUAGGUGUCGUCAUGUGUUUUGAUGUUGUCUUGUGAUCCAUGUCAUUUUCUGCUCUCACUUAGUAUUAAGUCAUAUCGUUCCAUUGUAUUAGGAUUAAGUAAGUACGUACACUGUUGCGCUUAGGAUUAAGGAUUGUGGUGUCGAGGUUCGGUGUUCUUCAUGUAUUUCACAUCGUGUCAUGUAAGGUUUCUGUGUUUUUAAGAUAUCUCGAUGUAAUGUCUAGGUUUAAUAUUGUCGUGUAUUUGUACUAAGGUAUUCAUGUCGUUUCGUGUUGUGUAUCGUCGUCGUCUUUGUGAACAUUUUUCAACUCGUUUAUUAUCCUUACUUUAAGCGUGUGCUGAGGUGAUUUUAAUGACUUUAUUUAGUGUAAUUUUUCGUCGUCUCUAGGCAGUGAUUGUUGUACCCUUGUCGAAUCAGUAUUAAUAUUAAUAAUUUGUAUUAAGAUUGAUCUUGGUGGAGUUUAAGGAUUAAAAUUAAUUGAAAGGAAUCGCGUUAGGUCUGAGUAAAAAAACAGAAAUGGGUUGAAAUUAUUGUAAAAUCUUGCAAUUUUGAAUGUAUUAGGUCUAAAGUUAGAUAAGGGUUUCAAUGAUUUCCUAAUCGUAUAAUAUUGUUGAUAUCUGUGCCAAUUACUUUAAUUAUGUAAGUGUCGUGUCGUAUUUCGUAUAUGUGUCUAUAUUGUAUUGGGGUGUUCAUUGUGCGUGUGUUUGGUGUUUCGGUGUUGUACUGUCCAGGGACUUAUGUAUUUGAUUAUCUUUUUCUAUUAUGUGGUAAUUAAAUUCUUCAAAAACUAA